AGAGUUUGAUCCUGGCUCAGGACGAACGCUGGCGGCGUGCUUAACACAUGCAAGUCGAACGAGGAUCAAAUUGGAAGUCCUUCGGGGCGGAAGAUUUGAUUCGAGUGGCGGACGGGUGAGUAACGCGUGAGCAACCUGUCCCAGACAGGGGGAUAACACUUGGAAACAGGUGCUAAUACCGCAUAAGACCACGGGAUCACAUGGUUCUGGGGUAAAAGGUGCAAACCGGUUUGGGGUGGGCUCGCGUCCGAUUAGAUAGUUGGUGAGGUAACGGCCCACCAAGUCGACGAUCGGUAGCCGACCUGAGAGGGUGAUCGGCCACAUUGGAACUGAGAGACGGUCCAAACUCCUACGGGAGGCAGCAGUGGGGAAUAUUGGGCAAUGGGCGAAAGCCUGACCCAGCAACGCCGCGUGAGUGAUGAAGGCCUUCGGGUUGUAAAGCUCUGUUAUAGGGGACGAAGGAAGUGACGGUACCCUGUAAGGAAGCCCCGGCUAACUACGUGCC
rnacentral:rRNA from 1 species